UGACACUGCUCCAUAGUUGUGGAGAUCACUUUUUAUCAGGGAGAUGAACACAUUCUUAUCUGAUUAGAUUUUUGUUUUGAUAACUUGGUCUGGUCGAUGUGAUGGUGAAUUGUCGACUAUUCCUUCAGAAGAAUGCCAUUGCCUUGCACUGAAAAAUAUAUUGCACAAAAAUUCCUGUUGGCUUCCCUGCCAGAGACUGCCCUCUCCACAGUCCCCUCGUGGAAUCGGAAAAUGCCUUCAUUUGUGCUGAUAUUGUUCCGUAUCGAGUUGGAAUUCCGAACAAAAAUGCAUCAGCUUCCAGUAACUGUGCAGCUGUGAUGACGGGAAUCAAUUCAUCCUUGGGUAGAGCAGUUACCUUUGUCAAAACAUCAGCUGGUAGCGUGCUAAGCUGGAGUGGUACAAGCCCAGCCAUCGCUCUACCUACUAUGACUUCAAGCAUAAUCUAGUGAGUAAGUUUUGGUUAUCAAAUUUAAUGUAUAUUAUUGGAAACAUUAUAUGUAUUAAAAUGAUUAAUUUAACACAAUAUAUUGUGUAUACAAGAGUGAUACCAAGAGUUGUAACUCUUGGUGUAAGGUCAAUACUUAAUAGAGACUAAUGUAUUAUAUGGAAUAAUUCUUCCAAUAUUCCCACUAUGACACUAAUCUUCAUUCUUAAAUUAAAUUUCAUCUAUAGUGGAUGUUUAUCUAUUUAUAGAAUGAAUAUGUGUGAGAAAUAUAUGAUUUCAAUUUCCUUUUUGGUGUUGAUAUUUUAUUCCAAAGUUUGAUGUGUCUUUUAUAUAUCUCAUAGUUCUUUUUAAAGUUUG
rnacentral:lncRNA from 1 species